rnacentral:rRNA from 1 species
GAUGAACGCUGGCGGCGUGCAUAACACAUUCAAGUCGAACGGUGAAGUGACUUCGGUCACGGAUCAGUGGCGGACGGGUGAGUAACGCGUGAAUAACCUGCCUGUAUGUGGGGGAUAACAACCGGAAACAGUUGCUAAUACCGCAUAAGCGCACAGUAUCGCAUGAUACGGUGUGAAAAAACUCCGGUGGUAUGAGAUGGACCUGCGUCUGAUUAGCUAGUUGGUGAGGUAACGGCCCACCAAGGCGACGAUCAGUAGCCGGCCUGAGAGGGUGAACGGCCACAUUGGGACUGAGACACGGCCCAAACUCCUACGGGAGGCAGCAGUGGGGAAUAUUGCACAAUGGGGGGAAACCCUGAUGCAGCGACGCCGCGUGAGUGAAGAAGUAUUUCGGUAUGUAAAAGCUCUAUCAGCAAGGAAGGAAAAAUGACGGUACUUGACUAAG